GACGGAGGGUGCAAGCGUUAUCCGGAUUUACUGGGUUUAAAGGGCGCGUAGGCGGGUGGUCAAGUCAGGGGUGAAAUCUUUCAGCUCAACUGGAAAACAGCUUCUGAUACUGGCCGUCUUGAGGGGGGUAGGGGCAUGUGGAACUUCCGGUGGAGCGGUGAAAUGCGUAGAUAUCGGAAGGAACGCCGGUGGCGAAAGCGACGUGCUGGACCCUUCCUGACGCUGAUGCGCGAAAGCUAGGGGAGCAAACGGG
rnacentral:rRNA from 1 species